GUUCCAGACUCCUACGGGAGGCAGCAGUGGGGAAUAUUGCACAAUGGGGGGAACCCUGAUGCAGCGACGCCGCGUGGGUGAAGGAGCACCUCGGUGCGUAAAGCCCUAUCGGCAGGGAAGAAACAGACGGUACCUGACUAAGAAGCCCCGGCUAACUACGUGCCAGCAGCCGCGGUAAUAGGUAGGGGGCAAGCGUUAUCCGGAUUCACUGGGUGUAAAGGGAGCGUAGACGGCGACGCAAGUCUGGAGUGAAAGCCCGGGGCCCAACCCCGGGACUGCUCUGGAAACUGCGGCGCUGGAGUACGGGAGGGGCAGGCGGAAUUCCUGGUGUAGCGGUGAAAUGCGUAGAUAUCAGGAGGAACACCGGCGGCGAAGGCGGCCUGCUGGACCGCAACUGACGUUGAGGCCCGAAAGCGUGGGGAGCAAACAGGAUUAGAUACCCUAGUACGA
rnacentral:rRNA from 1 species